rnacentral:tmRNA from 1 species
GAUCUCAACCGAUGUUUCGGACAGCGGUUCGAUUCCGCUCAACUCCACCA